rnacentral:rRNA from 1 species
GGCGGGCUAACAUCAGAUGAUAUAUAAUCACGACAUCGUGGAAAUAUCAAAUCUUCGGAGCCUUGGGAUGAGCCUGCGUCUGAUUAGGUAGUUGGCGGAGUAAUAGCCCACCAAGCCUACGAUCAGUAGCUGGUCUGAGAGGAUGAUCAGCCACACUGGAACUGAGACACGGUCCAGACUCCUACGGGAGGCAGCAGUAAGGAAUAUUGCUCAAUGGGGGAAACCCUGAAGCAGCAACGCCGCGUGAAGGAUGAAAUACUUUUGUAUGUAAACUUCUGUAAGAUGGGGAAAAUAUUCUCCUCGGGAGAAUUGAUUGUACCAUCAGAGUAAGCCCCGGCUAACUAGGUG